GGGGCUGCUGGGCCAGGGACAUGUACACACUAAAUAAAUUCGGGCAAAGUGCCCGUCACUGAACAGAGAACAGACCAGUGAGCAGAGAACAGAAUGACAUGAAGAAGCAGUUCCCAGAGGAAGCCAAAGCCCGUGGAGAGGAAGAGAUGCCAGCCACCUGUCCAGGAAGCGCUUGCUAACACAGGGGCCUGGGGACAGGCGCCGGAUGCGUGGGGUCUGCAGAGCGGCUCAUCGCAGCCCCCCCAUGGAUGACAGUCAUCAUCCCUCAGCUCGCUGUGAGCACUGGAGACACAGUGGAGAGCCCGGUCACAGCCCCCCUUCCCGUCCUGGCAGACAGAGAGCGAAUAAAGGAGCGUGUGGCAGUCA